UACGUAGGGGGCAAGCGUUGUCCGGAUUCAUUGGGCGUAAAGAGCGCGCAGGCGGUCGUUCAAGUCGAGUGUGAAAGCCCCCGGCUCAACUGGGGAGGGUCAUUCGAUACUGAUCGACUGGAAGGCAGGAGAGGGAAGCGGAAUUCCCGGUGUAGUGGUGAAAUGCGUAGAUAUCGGGAGGAACACCAGUGGCGAAGGCGGCUUCCUGGCCUGUUCUUGACGCUGAGGCGCGAAAGCUAGGGGAGCAAACGGG
rnacentral:rRNA from 1 species